GAUCCUGGCUCAGGACGAACGCUGGCGGCGUGCCUAAUACAUGCAAGUAGAACGCUGAAGGAAGGAGCUUGCUCUUUCCGGAUGAGUUGCGAACGGGUGAGUAACGCGUAGGUAACCUGCCUGGUAGCGGGGGAUAACUAUUGGAAACGAUAGCUAAUACCGCAUGACAACAGUUAUUGCAUGAUAGCUGUUUAAAAGGGGCAACUGCUCCACUACCAGAUGGACCUGCGUUGUAUUAG
rnacentral:rRNA from 1 species